rnacentral:tRNA from 1 species
CCAUGUUGCAGCAGGACAGCUACAUGCUGUUCGUAUCGGCAGACAGCCCCUACCAGACGUUCGACGCGUUCGUCGCGGC